UCUCCCCUACGGGGGGCAGCAGUGGGGAAUAUUGCACAAUGGGGGGAACCCUGAUGCAGCGACGCCGCGUGAGCGAUGAAGUAUUUCGGUAUGUAAAGCUCUAUCAGCAGGGAAGAAAAUGACGGUACCUGACUAAGAAGCCCCGGCUAACUACGUGCCAGCAGCCGCGGUAAUACGUAGGGAGCAAGCGUUAUCCGGAUUUAUUGGGUGUAAAGGGUGCGUAGACGGGAAAUUAAGUUAGUUGUGAAAUCCCUCGGCUCAACUGAGGAACUGCAACUAAAACUGAUUUUCUUGAGUGCAGGAGG
rnacentral:rRNA from 1 species